GAUGAACGCUGGCGGCGUGCUUAACACAUGCAAGUCGAACGGGAAUUAUUUUAUUGAAACUUCGGUCGAUUUAAUUUAAUUCUAGUGGCGGACGGGUGAGUAACGCGUGGGUAACCUGCCUUAUACAGGGGGAUAACAGUCAGAAAUGGCUGCUAAUACCGCAUAAGCGCACAGAGCUGCAUGGCUCAGUGUGAAAAACUCCGGUGGUAUAAGAUGGACCCGCGUUGGAUUAGCUUGUUGGCAGGGUAACGGCCUACCAAGGCGACGAUCCAUAGCCGGCCUGAGAGGGUGAACGGCCACAUUGGGACUGAGACACGGCCCAGACUCCUACGGGAGGCAGCAGUGGGGAAUAUUGCACAAUGGGGGAAACCCUGAUGCAGUGACGCCGCGUGAAGGAAGAAGUAUCUCGGUAUGUAAACUUCUAUCAGCAGGGAAGAUAGUGACGGUACCUGACGAAGAAGCCCCGGCUAACUACGUG
rnacentral:rRNA from 1 species